rnacentral:lncRNA from 10 species
GCCAUGGAUCAGGAAACUGAGGAACAGAUUAGCAACAUAAAGGAACUCAAGUCACACAGCUAGGAGGUAGCAGGACCAGGAUUCAAACCCACAGAGUCUGACGCUGGCUUCCCGCCCCUUGGCCACUGUCCUGCCUUGCUGAGGUCGUGGGUAGCUCAGUCUUCCCCUCAGCUAAAUGGGGAAGCUGCCAGAGUCAUUAAGCACUGGUGAGAGGCAGGAGC